GAUGAACGCUGGCGGCGUGCCUAAUACAUGCAAGUCGAGCGAACGGACGAGAAGCUUGCUUCUCUGAUGUUAGCGGCGGACGGGUGAGUAACACGUGGAUAACCUACCUAUAAGACUGGGAUAACUUCGGGAAACCGGAGCUAAUACCGGAUAAUAUUUUGAACCGCAUGGUUCAAAAGUGAAAGACGGUCUUGCUGUCACUUAUAGAUGGAUCCGCGCUGCAUUAGCUAGUUGGUAAGGUAACGGCUUACCAAGGCAACGAUGCAUAGCCGACCUGAGAGGGUGAUCGGCCACACUGGAACUGAGACACGGUCCAGACUCCUACGGGAGGCAGCAGUAGGGAAUCUUCCGCAAUGGGCGAAAGCCUGACGGAGCAACGCCGCGUGAGCGAUGAAGGUCUUCGGAUCGUAAAACUCUGUUAUUAGGGAAGAACAUAUGUGUAAGUAACUGUGCACAUCUUGACGGUACCUAAUCAGAAAGCCACGGCUAACUACGU
rnacentral:rRNA from 1 species